rnacentral:tRNA from 1 species
GCGUGUGUAGCCUAGUUGGUAAAGGCAGCACUCUAGUAUGUGUCUCAGCAUAGCUGAGGUUGUGAGUUCGACUCUCACCAGACACA